rnacentral:misc_RNA from 1 species
GAUGAAGAACGCAGCGAAAUGCGAUAAGUAGUGUGAAUUGCAGAAUUCAGUGAAUCAUCGAAUCUUUGAACGCACAUUGCGCCCCUUGGUAUUCCAUGGGGCAUGCCUGUUCGAGCGUCAUUUGUACCUUCAAGCUCUGCUUGGUGUUGGGUGUUUGUCUCGCCUCUGCGCGUAGACUCGCCUCAAAUCAAUUGGCAGCCGGCGUAUUGAUUUCGGAGCGCAGUACAUCUCGCGCUUUGCACUCAUAACGACGACGUCCAAAAGUACAUUUUUACACUCUUGACCUCGGAUCAGGUAGGGAUACCCGCUGAACUUAAGCAUAUCAAUAAGCGGAGGA